UACGUAGGGGGCAAGCGUUGUCCGGAUUUAUUGGGCGUAAAGAGCGUGUAGGCGGCUAGAUAGGUCCGUUGUGAAAACUCGAGGCUCAACCUCGAGACGCCGGUGGAAACCAUCUAGCUAGAGUCCGGAAGAGGAGAGUGGAAUUCCUGGUGUAGCGGUGAAAUGCGCAGAUAUCAGGAAGAACACCCCGUGGCGAAGGCGGCUCACUGGCCCGGUACUGACGCUGAGGUGCGAAAGCGUGGGGAGCAAACAGG
rnacentral:rRNA from 1 species